rnacentral:misc_RNA from 1 species
CGAACGGUCGGCAGGCGAUCCGCGUCGGUCGCGCUGGGUGGUAUGGUUCCCCAGAGGCCGGUUCUUGUGCUGCCUACCCCUUCGGGGGAAGCGGGCCACUUGGUGUAAGCCUCCAUCCGGCGCCCCCCAACGGGCGCAGGAGGACAACGGAGCACCCCCCGCGUUCCACCGAGCCCCCGUCGGUCGCGUGGCGCGCGGGGACGUGCGAUGCUCUCGGACCCAGCGAACGCCGUGGGCGAGGAYUCACGUCCCAGUCCCGAUAGAAGCUCCCGUAUAAUGCAUGACGGCCGCGCCCGUCCCCCGACCGCCCCGGCGGCGCGGGGGCGAGGCGCGGCGUC